ensembl:lncRNA
AUAUGGGGCAGCACCCGGCGCCGGCUCGUUCCGUGCUGCUGCUGUUUGUCUGGGAAAGGACAAUGCUGAUGGACUGCUGUGGAUAAAUGAUGUUCGUUCUGCACCUUGAGGGUGGGAUGCUGCCUUGCACAGCCUCCACGACAGAGGUCAUGUCUUCCUCCACAUCCAGCACCGAUGGGGCUGUAUGGAACACCACACCAAUGGACUGCUGUGCCAACAACAUGUUGGGUUGGAGGUAUGCAAUUGCCAUCUGGGUACAGUCCCUGUGGCCAAACCCAAUGGCGAUGUAGGACACAAGGGUGGCUGCCCAUCGCCGCUCCCUCCGGAAAGGAGCCAGACAGGAGAGAAAUCACUGCUGUCCAUGCCCCAAAAUCAAGAUGUGAAGUGGACAAGGCUCUGUUCUGCUGUUCCCUCUGCUGAGAUGUCAGAAGGACUCCCCAGGCAUCCAUCCACACUGAACACCUCCAUGAGACCUCUCUGCCCCAGGAAGCAGGAAGAUGCCUUUAUAUGUCCCCUUUUAGCAGCUGCUGCAAACUUCUUUUAUGCUAAAGCACGUGGAGCCGCGUUGAUUUAUUUAGCAGCGUCUCUGGAGGCUUCUUCAAGGUUAAGAUGUAGACAUCGCAUGUUAGGCUGGGCUGAAUGCUGGCAGGAAAAGACAUUUGGCUCUUCUAAUUGGAAAAACACGCCGCUUUUAUCACCCCGAGGCCAAGCCUCUACCACAGCCACACAGCACAGGGGAACACAGCGGCUCAGCCCUGGGUCCCCAGAAAGGAGCACCGUCCCCUCACUGCCCUCCAGGUGCCUCCCAGCCCGCAUUUUGCUGAUUGUGCCUAUUUUUUUGGCGGGGUGUGGGGCUCUCCCUAAGGCAUGGCAUGGCGGGAGGUGGUGGUCAGGCAAGGAUGAACCAGGUCCCCUUCCCUAUGUCCCCAUCACCAUUGCUCCCAGUGCUGGCGGGCUGGAGGUAGGGAGCCGCGAAGGGAAGGUGCGGGCUGAGGUUUAGAAAUCAUGAUGUGUGAAUUGAAAUGGGAAGCAAUGGAUCUCAGGAAUCACCGCAACUGCUACAAGGUGUUCCUGAAGCUGUCAGCAAGACAUCUGCCCGCUCGCCGCGGCUGCGGGAGGACGGGGAGCGGAGGAGCGCCGGGAGCGUGGGGUCCUGCAGUGGGGCUGGAGAGACCCCAGUGGGGCAGCAGUGUGGUUUGGGGUGGAAAAAGGAGGAGAAUGGCUCUUGGGAGGGCCCUGGAGCAAAGCCCUGGCUGCGGAGCUCUCUCCUCGUAACUCAUCCCGGGGCGACCACGAGAGGGAUGCCGCCGGCCCCAGCCCGCGAUUUACGGCUCAGGGGGAAGAAAUGCAGCCGCUCUGUGAGUGCACUCCAGGCAGCUGCUGCUGUCUUCUUCCAUCCGGAGCUCAGCACUCACACUGCCCAUCGCAAGGUGGAUGCAUGGCUGGGGGUUCCAGAACAGAAAGUCAGCCCUGAUCCCAUCCCGCUGCACAUCCCGACGGCCUUGGGCUGUGAGUCCCACUCCCAGGCCAUGUGGGCCCAUGUUGCCCUUUGACUUCAGCCAUGUGCACAUCCCAGCACCGAGAGGGCUCUGAGGCCACGAGGAGCCAGAAAUAACCCAGCCCUGCGAUGCUGAAGGGACAUGAACUGUGAUUGAUUGCAGGUCAGCCCCGGUGGUGCACCCAUCCCUGCUGAGUGCUCAGCACCGGUCACGGAGCUGUCAGCCACGCUGUGCCUCAGUUUCCCCACUGCUGCUGGCUGCCAUGGGCUGCGUGCUGAGUUUCGGUAAGUUCUGAUUGAGAAAAGCAAAAGAGAAAGAGUAAAUCUGCACAGUGGGGUGCUGACAUCCACCUGAGCCUGCUGAGGGCUGCACUAAGAUUUUGGGGCUGGGGGUACUGUCUGUGCCAGCCUGCACCCACAGCCCUCCCUUUCACUCACAGCUCCAAACAAACCCAGGGAGCACACGUGACCUUCAGUGUAUAGCUUAAGGCUUUUAAAGCUCUGCUCUAAUUCUUCUCACUCCCCACACAUCCAUCCCCUGCACCAGCCUCCUCAUUUCUCUUUCCCUACCGUAAACUUAUCCCCUUUCUAAAGUGCCCGGAGAAGAUGCUGUGGAUGAAAUGUUACUUUAGCUUAAUUUCCUAUUCUUAACAUAUGCUUUAAUUAAUGUCAUUUUCUUUGAUUCACUGCCAACAUGCCAGCACAGCACUUCCUUCUUUUCCCAACCUUUACUAUAACCCUGUGGCUAGGGAAGGGUGCUCAUGUGUGAAACACUCACCGAUGUCUCUCAGUGAGGAUUCUUGCAGCUGAAGCUUCAGUGCAGAAUGGCAAAGCAGGGGAAUGGGGAAGGGACACCCAGCUGCUGAUUUCCCACUGCACUGAGCGCUGGGGGCACAGUGGGUGUGAACAGCACCUCCUGCCACCCCUAUGGGCUGUAAAAAUUCCACCCUAUCCAUUUAUUUCAGGCGCAGUGUGUCUAAGAAGCCCCUUCCCCAUCCAUCUCGGUGUUCCCACUGCACAACACGGAGCACACCCACUGAUGAAGGCACACAGCAUCCUCAUCUGGCCGGGCUGCCUCAGCCACGUCGGUACUCAGAGCUACAGAUACAGAGGUAAGGCUGCAUUUUUGGUGAUCCUUUGUCCCCUGUUUUGCAGGAGCCAGCUGGGUCUCCCACCACAGACAGGGAAUUGCUGUGGGCUCCCUGUGCCCCAGAGCAGCAUUGAGGCAUUGAGCCAUUGCCCCUCCUGACCCCAGACCCUGCACACAGCAGGGCCUGAAAUGGCCCUUUCCCAGACAUCUCCGUAAGCAAUGCCUUCAGUCUCUGCUUAAUGACUCCCAGCCAUCCUUCCUCCUUGCAGAAGCCAGCAGCACAGCAGGCAGGGCAGAUCCCCAGCUCCUGCUCCCCCCAUUCCAAACAGCAACUUUGGGGUCUCACAGCAAACCCCAUCCCACCAGCAGCAAACCCCCUAUUUCCAGGCCUGGCCCUGGUUUGUUCUCAUUUCCUUUCCUUACUGAGCCUCCCCCCAGGAAUGGGACGAUGUCUUUUACAGCUCUCCCUGCUUCCAGUGUAUCAGAAGCAUGCCAAGACAUUGCCCUCUCCCAGGGGUGAGGAGCAAAGUGCCCAAUGUGGAGACGAGAACUGAUCUGGUGCUGCUGCAGCUGAGGGGCACAGUGCAGGGCCACAGCCACGUGGGGACUGGGAUUGAACCCGGUGCAAGAAGCCCAGGAGGAAAUCCCAUCCCAAUGCUAUGGGGCAGAAACCCAAUGCUGCCCCCAAAAUCUUUCCCCACAGCCUCCAUCCUGCUGCCUUCCCCCCCAGUCCUCCUUCUCUCACCUUGCCUUCCUCCAUUGCAUCCAUCCUCCUCUCUGGUGCCUCUUGCUCCAUCUCUGGGCACUGCUUUCCCCUCCCCUCCUCCCUUCCCAACCCCUGAGCUCCAGCUAGUUUAGAUCUGCCCUGGGGUGAUGUAGGGGGGAACAGGGGCAGCACUGACCCCUCUCCAUACUCCCAGUUUGGCUCAGUCUGAGCCCUAUGGUUGGGAUGUCCCUCCCACACCCAGGGCUGCUGGCAGCAUCUGGCCCCACUCCAGAGAGGAGGAGGAGGUGGAAGAGGAGAUUCCCCCAUGGGCAGCACUGUGGUGCAAAAGGCUGAAAGGAGCUCUGGCCAGGAGCAGGGCCUUGUGUGGAGGUGGUGGGUGUGAGGAUGGCUGAGGAUGCUUUUGCCUAAAGAGCAGUGGGAUGUGAAGGCAAACAGUGGGAACAUUGCUCCUGGAGCGUGGUGGUGCUGCCCAGGCACUGCCCUGCUCUGCCUGUGAGCGUUGGGACCCAGCCCAUGCUGUGGUGAGCACAGCAUUUGAAUGCAGCCAACUGACCCCCAGGGCCUCAGGCAGUGCUGCAGAGCAGUGCUGGGGCUCACCAUGCAUCCUUGCUCAGUGCCAGGGUGUGCACAGUGCUGGGCAUGGCUCACACUGUCCGUUCUCUGCUCACCCUGCAGGACAGAUAUUGCCUAUAGCAAAAAAUUACCCUCCAUAGCAAAAAUACAACAAUCUCUACGGGCAGGACUCGUUCUGUGCCCUCCGUCCCAGCAUGACGAUACCCACAGUGCUCCUACAGCACCACAGGGCAGUUCCCUGCUCUGGUGCAGGGCUUUGGGAUGAGGGUCCCCUCUCCUCCUCCUGCUCAGUGAGCGAUGCCUUCACAUGGCUGUCCCAAAGCUCCAGGCCCACUCAGCCCCGUGCUGCAACGCACAGAGCCGGAACAAAGCCGUGCUGCCUCAAAUUCCUCCAGCGCCGGGCUCGGGGCUCUGUGCUGCUUUCAGUUCCUAAAGCCAGCUUCGCGCUGUGCCCUGUCGGCCCACUCCCACGCUCCAGCACGGGGUAUCUUGACAGAUUGUUUGGUGGUUUGUUUGUUUGUUUUCUAUUUUAUAAUAAAAGGAAAAAAAGCGAUUGCAAAGCAGAAAGGACCGUUUUGGGGGUACAUUUGGCAGUGAAAUCAGAGCUCGGGCUGGGAACCAGCAGGACAGCCUCCCUGCAGCCUCCCUGCGAUGCUCUCCAUGCACCGAACCCCGCACCACUCCUUCCUACACCAUCCCCCCGCUCACACCAAUGACUUUUAUUUUCGUACACGAAAAAGAAAACGCACAACGGAUUGGGAGCGUUAUUUUUCUGAACGCCACUUCGAAGAGUAAAAAUCUGAAAGCGUAAAUCCGGAGCAUCGUGGCAAAAUCCGGGCUCGGUUUAAAAACUAAAAGGGUUCUGCGAUUGUUUCUUUUCGUUUGUGAAAUAAUUCAACCCUCACCAAUAUUCCGGGCAGACGACCGCCGUUUAAUCUCAGCGGUCGCACAACGAACUGAGAUUCCGAGGGGGUGAGAGCGUUCGGCGCAACGUAACUAUCAAAUAUCCCCCGAAGACUUAAAGCAAACCACACGUGGCUGCUUCUCUCGCUGCCCCACUGCCCGCAGCCAUCGGUGCAGGACGGAGGACCGCAGCGCUUCGCAGUGCCAUUAAGCAUUCGUUAAAACAUUUACUCGAUGGGCCGUAACAAAGCGCCGGAGCCGCGGGCGCACGCAGAGACUCCAUCGGACGGUUCUGCGGUGCAAAACCGUCGCGUUCAGAGCCGCGCAGCCCUCAGUCCCCUCUCAUCGCACCUCUCUCGGGCAGAUGCUGGAGGUGGAAGGGCUGCAGCUUACCCCGCUUUCUGCCGUCGGUUCUGGGCGUUCCGAUUUCGGGUUCCCCUCUCGGCCCGGAGCGCAGUGCCCGGCCCGUGGCAUCAGAGCCUGAGGGAUGGAGGGGGAAAGCAACGUGAGCCAGAAGCUCGCAGCGAGGUCUGUAAGUCCUUGUAUGGCAGAAAUAAACGUAUUACACCGUUAUUAGAGAUUUGGCGCUGGCCCUGUCGAGAAGCCCGGCUUUGGUGCUCUGCGAUUCCUCCCGAGAACAGAACUCAGCGGUUGCUCUCCGUACUCGCCGCGUUUUCUCUGGCCAAAUCCUGCCACCUUUUCUCAGCCCUCAGCCAUUCAAACCCGCAGCGGCGGUGCGAACCGCUGCGCUCCCGCUGCAGCCGACAGCUCCGUGCCAAAGCGCACGGCCGCGGCUCCCCACCCCCCGUCGGGGCGGCCGUCGGGGCUGGCAGCUCCGCGAGGUUCAUCGCAUUUGGGGGGGAAAAGAAACAAUAAAGGAGAGCCGCACCGGCAACGGCUGCGCGGCAGGGCAUCCCCGCAGGUAGCGCGCAGCCGCAGCCUUUUCGGGUUUUGUUUUGCUUUGUUUUGUUUUUCUUCUUCUUCUUUUUUUUUAUUUUUCUUUCCCCCGGCCCGCGACUGUAAUUAUUAGAGAAAAGCGACAGUGAGCUUUUAUUAAUCGACGGUGUUCGGGGCCAAGGCAUGAGCUCGGUGACAGUGAUGAGUGGUGUGGAGAGCCGGUCUCUGGAAGCAGGGCUUAUCCUCCCCCCUUUGCCUGCUCCCUGGACUCGGCGAUGAUGAGCCACGAAUAGGAGCCACCCUGCCGUCGGGGAUCCGGCCGUUUAUCUGCCGGGUGAUGACAGUCGGGGUGGAUUGGAGCCUCGCCGUGGAUUGCCGGAGCCUCUUGGAAGCACCGCGGAUACGGGGACGCUGAGGUGGCGGGAGCGGCCGCGGCCUCUCCCAGCCCGGACGGCCCCGGCCCCGACGUUGCGGUCGGAGAGCCGCGGGGCGCUGACCGCUGUGCGCAGGUGGACGGCGUUCCGGGCACGGACAGCCCCGGCCCGAGAAAGGCCCGAAGCGGCCCCUCUUCUACAAACGGGGAGUGCCGGGGCUGGAGGGGAGGAGGGGGGGACUUCGGCUUUGUUUUAAUCAAAUACUCCCCACUCGGGAUCGCCCCCCCCCCCCACAGCCGUUUUUGCUUGAGAGACAAAAACUGCCCUGAACGUAGGAAAGAGGAGGAAACGCCCGUGAUUGCAGCUGCGGGAGGAAGGGGUGGAGGGAGGCAAAACCCAAACAAAGCCGAGCACCAGCACACAGCCGACACCGAAAUCGUAUCACCGCGCAGCCGCUGACCCCGGGCAGAGCCUCGGGCAGAGCCACGAGCCCGGCUCCGAGGUUCGGUACCCCUCACCCGACCCCCCCGGGCUCACGUCGGGGUCCGCUCUCACCUGCCGUCAGCUCCGCGCUGCUCCCCCGCCCGCACGGCCCGCUCUGCCCGGCCCUGGUCGGUCUUUCUUUCUAUUUAUAUAUUUAUUUUUCCUGUUUCUUUCCUUCUUUCUUUCUUUCUUUCUUUUUUUUUUUUUUUUUCCCAUUUUUCCGUACGAGCGGAGAAAAGGUUCAUUAAGAGGUUGACCCCAGUUUACUUUUUAUUCCGCUCCUGUUCCCAAUUUCGGCACCACGUGAUGGUGGGAGUGAGUUUAGGUUGAAAUUCACUUUUAGGAAAAGAAAAAAAAAAAAAAAAAAACAACCGUAUUUAAAAAACCAUAAAAAACGAAACUCCUGCCCCGGAAAGGCCUGAUGGCCCAUGGCUGCAGCCCGCUGAGCCCGGUUUGGGUAAGCGGCCUCUGGUUCCGGAGGGGCUGUGCGAUAUAGGCUGCUUCAGAGCACUGCGGGUUGUCGCGACAUGGGGUAGCACAUCCCUAUGGGUAUGCGUUUCGGCUGCGGGGGGGUGCGAGGUGAACGGGAUUGCUUUUGGUAAUCGCGAUAGCAGAGAGAUGCGAUCCAUUGAGUCGCGACAGCCCUCGGUGACCGUCUAUGCUCCCUGGGUUUCUCCCGGCGGUGGGAACCCCGAGAAGGCCGCGGUCAGAGCCUGUGGGGGCCCCGGCCCUGUGCUGUGCGCCACCGGCACAGCAUCCCCGCCGCAGCCGCUCUCACCU